rnacentral:rRNA from 1 species
GACGAACGCUGGCGGCGUGCUUAACACAUGCAAGUCGAACGGAAAGGCCCUGCUUUGGUGGGGUGCUCGAGUGGCGAACGGGUGAGUAACGCGUGAGUUACCUGCCCCUGACUUUGAGAUAAAUUCAGCAAACUGGGGCUCAUACCGGGUAGGAGCUCCUGCUGCAUGGGGGGGGUUGGAAAGUUUCGGCGGUUGGGGACGCACUCGCGGCCUAUUAGCUUGUGGGUGGGGUAGCGGCCUACCAGGGCUUUGACGGGUGGCCGGCCUGGGAGGGUGACCGGCCACAUUGGGCCUGGGUUACGGCCCGACCCCCUCCGGGGGGCAGCAGUGGGGAUUAUUGCACAAUGGGCGGAGCCCUGAUGCAGCACCGCCGCGUGCGGGAUAACGGCCUUCGGUUUUUAACCCGCUUUCGCCUGUGACGAAGCGUGAGUGACGGUAAUUGGUAAAGAAGCACCGGCUAACUACGUG